GGGUUGUGAGGUUAAGCGACUAAGCGUACACGGUGGAUGCCCUGGCAGUCAGAGGCGAUGAAGGACGUGCUAAUCUGCGAUAAGCGUCGGUAAGGUGAUAUGAACCGUUAUAACCGGCGAUUUCCGAAUGGGGAAACCCAGUGUGAUUCGUCACACUAUCAUUAACUGAAUCCAUAGGUUAAUGAGGCGAACCGGGGGAACUGAAACAUCUAAGUACCCCGAGGAAAAGAAAUCAACCGAGAUUCCCCCAGUAGCGGCGAGCGAACGGGGAGCAGCCCAGAGCCUGAAUCAGUGUGUGUGUUAGUGGAAGCGUCUGGAAAGGCGCGCGAUACAGGGUGACAGUCCCGUACACAAAAAUGCACAUACUGUGAGCUCGAUGAGUAGGGCGGGACACGUGGUAUCCUGUCUGAAUAUGGGGGGACCAUCCUCCAAGGCUAAAUACUCCUGACUGACCGAUAGUGAACCAGUACCGUGAGGGAAAGGCGAAAAGAACCCCGGCGAGGGGAGUGAAAAAGAACCUGAAACCGUGUACGUACAAGCAGUGGGAGCACGCUUAGGCGUGUGACUGCGUACCUUUUGUAUAAUGGGUCAGCGACUUAUAUUCUGUAGCAAGGUUAACCGAAUAGGGGAGCCGAAGGGAAACCGAGUCUUAACUGGGCGUUAAGUUGCAGGGUAUAGACCCGAAACCCGGUGAUCUAGCCAUGGGCAGGUUGAAGGUUGGGUAACACUAACUGGAGGACCGAACCGACUAAUGUUGAAAAAUUAGCGGAUGACUUGUGGCUGGGGGUGAAAGGCCAAUCAAACCGGGAGAUAGCUGGUUCUCCCCGAAAGCUAUUUAGGUAGCGCCUCGUGAAUUCAUCUCCGGGGGUAGAGCACUGUUUCGGCAAGGGGGUCAUCCCGACUUACCAACCCGAUGCAAACUGCGAAUACCGGAGAAUGUUAUCACGGGAGACACACGGCGGGUGCUAACGUCCGUCGUGAAGAGGGAAACAACCCAGACCGCCAGCUAAGGUCCCAAAGUCAUGGUUAAGUGGGAAACGAUGUGGGAAGGCCCAGACAGCCAGGAUGUUGGCUUAGAAGCAGCCAUCAUUUAAAGAAAGCGUAAUAGCUCACUGGUCGAGUCGGCCUGCGCGGAAGAUGUAACGGGGCUAAACCAUGCACCGAAGCUGCGGCAGCGACACUGUGUGUUGUUGGGUAGGGGAGCGUUCUGUAAGCCUGCGAAGGUGUGCUGUGAGGCAUGCUGGAGGUAUCAGAAGUGCGAAUGCUGACAUAAGUAACGAUAAAGCGGGUGAAAAGCCCGCUCGCCGGAAGACCAAGGGUUCCUGUCCAACGUUAAUCGGGGCAGGGUGAGUCGACCCCUAAGGCGAGGCCGAAAGGCGUAGUCGAUGGGAAACAGGUUAAUAUUCCUGUACUUGGUGUUACUGCGAAGGGGGGACGGAGAAGGCUAUGUUGGCCGGGCGACGGUUGUCCCGGUUUAAGCGUGUAGGCUGGUUUUCCAGGCAAAUCCGGAAAAUCAAGGCUGAGGCGUGAUGACGAGGCACUACGGUGCUGAAGCAACAAAUGCCCUGCUUCCAGGAAAAGCCUCUAAGCAUCAGGUAACAUCAAAUCGUACCCCAAACCGACACAGGUGGUCAGGUAGAGAAUACCAAGGCGCUUGAGAGAACUCGGGUGAAGGAACUAGGCAAAAUGGUGCCGUAACUUCGGGAGAAGGCACGCUGAUAUGUAGGUGAAGUCCCUCGCGGAUGGAGCUGAAAUCAGUCGAAGAUACCAGCUGGCUGCAACUGUUUAUUAAAAACACAGCACUGUGCAAACACGAAAGUGGACGUAUACGGUGUGACGCCUGCCCGGUGCCGGAAGGUUAAUUGAUGGGGUCAGCGCAAGCGAAGCUCUUGAUCGAAGCCCCGGUAAACGGCGGCCGUAACUAUAACGGUCCUAAGGUAGCGAAAUUCCUUGUCGGGU
rnacentral:rRNA from 1 species